AGGACGAACGCUGGCGGCGUGCUUAACACAUGCAAGUCGAGGGCACUUUGGGGGCAACUCUGGAGUGACCGGCGAACGGGUGCGUAACACGUGAGCGACCUUGCCUCGUGGUGGGGGAUAGCUGGCCCAACGGCCGGGUAAUACCGCAUAGGGUGGUCUUUUCGCAUGGAGAGACUAGCAAAGCCCUGGAGCAAUCCAGUGGCGCCACGAGGGGGGGCUCGCGGCCUAUCAGCUAGUUGGGGGGUAAUGGCCCACCAAGGCGACGACGGGUAGC
rnacentral:rRNA from 1 species